AGAGUUUGAUCCUGGCUCAGGGCUAACGCUGGCGGCGUGUCUUAGCCAUGCAAGUCGAGCGGUCCUAUGGGGCGACCUAUAGGAUAGCGGCGGACGGCGGAGUAACACGUAGCUAACCUACCCUCCGGACGGGGAUAACCAUUCGAAAGGGUGGCUAAUACCCGAUGGAGUCAUCCGCAAGGGUGAUGAAAGGUGGGCCUCUGUUUACAAGCUCAUGCCGGGGGAGGGGGCUGCGGCCUAUCAGGUAGUUGGUGGGGUAAAGGCCCACCAAGCCUAUGACGGGUAGCCGGCCUGAGAGGGUGACCGGCCCGAGGGACACUGAGACACGGGUCCCACUCCUACGGGAGGCAGCAGGCUAGAAAUUUGGGCAAUGGGGGAAACCCUGACCCAGUGACGCCGCGUGCAGGAAGGAGCCCUUCGGGGUGUAAACUGCUGUCGUGCGGGGCGAAGGGUUUAUAGGCGAAUAGUCUAUAGACUUGACGGUACCGCAGGAGGAAGCCCAGGCUAACCUCGUGCCAGCAGCCGCGGUAAUACGGGGUGGGCGAGCGUUGCCCGGAAUUACUGGGUUUAAAGGGGGUGUAGGCGGUCUGGAUAGUCAGGUGUGUAAUCCAAUCGCUCAACGAUUGGACUGCAUCUGAUACUUUCAGGCUAGAGGGCGGUAGAGGAGAGCGGAACUCCCGGUGUAGCGGUGAAAUGCGUAGAUAUCGGGAGGAACGCCGGUGGCGAAGGCGGCUCUCUGGGCCGUUCCUGACGCUGAGGCCCGAAAGCUGGGGGAGCGAAAGGGAUUAGAUACCCCUGUAGUCCCAGCCGUAAACGAUGGGCACUAGGUGUGCCUCUAUAUAGGGGUGUGCCGACGGGAAACCAUUAAGUGCCCCACCUGGGGAGUACGGCCGCAAGGGUGAAACUCAAAUGAAUUGACGG
rnacentral:rRNA from 1 species